rnacentral:lncRNA from 1 species
GGCACUCCAGGAAGAUGAAGGUGGGAUUAUAGAACUUGCUUUGCUGUGACUAAAGAGAACUUUGUAUGCAGCUGUAGUCUGGGAGGUCUGAUGUUAGGGAAAAAGAAGGAGGAAAGCAAGAUUAAAAAUCAUUCCUGGAAAUGCAAGAGAAAAUGUGCUGGAGUGGUGCUGUUAGUACCAGGGACACUGGACAAGAAAGAUAAGCAAGCCACUGCUGUCUGAUUCCUACAUAGCAGGUUAAAGUGUUGGAUUCAUAAUUCUCACUUCAGGAAGACUGAAAACCAGACUUUAUUCUGCUAGAUCCCAAGAUAUCAAGGAAGAGGAAAAGGGAAGAGCCCCAGGCACUAUUAAACCACAGCUACAAUCACUGCCAUUUGAAACUUCCCACCAAACAACUUUACUAUUCUGAUUUAAUUUCAACUCCCAGGGAGAGUUAGUAUUAAGAGGAAGUACCUAUCAUCCAUGAUAAUCCACCAGCUCUGGGGGUUUAGAAGGGAAAGGAUGGAGGUCUCAGUGCUUGAGGCUAGGCUGACAGCUGAGCAGGGCUCCAGCUCACCUUAAUCUCACUCCUGUGGAUGCCUGCACUAGGGGCCUGAGCAUUCUCCCAGAUCUCUGCAUAGGAGGCUGCCCUUAGGCAUUAUUAAGGUGUGAAAGCAGCAAGAAAGAGCAGAAUUAAACUGCUUUUCUCUAAUGUAUCCUUUUACAGCCCAGUGUAUUUUGCCCUAGGCUAGCCUUUUCUUCUCCUUUCACCCUCCACAUGCCAGUCCGAGACAGCCUUUCUUCUCACAGGAAUUAUUGUAUUAUUUCUUAAAUUCUUUUUUUCUUCUCCAUGGCUUUUCUAGAGGAAACCUAACAGUGUGGGUUUAUCAAUCAUUUUGACAAGACUCUGAAUUCCACUGAACAGAUUUUUGAAUAAAAAUUAUGAACAAAGAAA